rnacentral:rRNA from 1 species
CGCGGCCUAUCAGCUUGUUGGUGGGGUAGUGGCCUACCAAGGCGGCGACGGGUAGCCGGCCUGAGAGGGUGACCGGCCACAUUGGGACUGAGAUACGGCCCAGACUCCUACGGGAGGCAGCAGUGGGGAAUAUUGCACAAUGGGCGCAAGCCUGAUGCAGCAACGCCGCGUGCGGGAUGACGGCCUUCGGGUUGUAAACCGCUUUCAGCAGGGACGAAGCUUUUUGUGACGGUACCUGCAGAAGAAGCACCGGCUAACUACGUGCCAGCAGCCGCGGUGAUACGUAGGGUGCGAGCGUUGUCCGGAUUUAUUGGGCGUAAAGGGCUCGUAGGCGGUUGAUCGCGUCGGAAGUGGAAACUUGAUGCUUAACGUUGAGCGUGCUUUCGAUACGGGUUGACUUGAGGAAGGUAGGGGAGAACGGAAUUCCUGGUGGAGCGGUGGAAUGCGCAGAUAUCAGGAGGAACACCAGUGGCGAAGGCGGUUCUCUGGACCUUUCCUGACGCUGAGGAGCGAAAGCGUGGGGAGCGAACAGGCUUAGAUACCCUGGUAGUCCACGCUGUAAACGGUGGGUACUAGGUGUGGGGUCCAUUCCACGGAUUCUGCGCCGUAGCUAACGCAUUAAGUACCCCGCCUGGGGAGUACGG